rnacentral:lncRNA from 1 species
AGGGUUUCUCCAUGUUGGCCAGGCUGGUCUCAAACUCCUGACCUCAGGUGAUACACCUGCCUUGGCCUCCCAAAGUGCUGGGAUUACAGGCAUGAGCCACCACGCCUGGCCUUUGUACCUGCUUUUUCAGGUCUUUGCAUGGUUAACCCCUCAUCAUUCAGUUUUUAGUGUAGUAAUAUAGUAAUCAUGUCUCCCCCACCUCAUCCCUUUCUAUCUUAUUAUGUUGUUUAAGAUAUUCACAGAAAUGAUCACUGCUAUAAUUAUCUUUUAAUUAUGCUUUUGCUUACUUUUUUGUUGGCUAUCUCCCCUGGAGUUUGAGCUCCAAUGGAGCAGGGCCCUCACCUGUCUUAUUUACCAUGUAUCUACACAGUAGAUGCUCAAGUAACAUUUAUUCAAUGAAUAAAUGAAUGCAUUACAAAAUGAGGAGGAGCUGGAGUUCCAGGCAGCCCCUAGAUUCCCUGUUGGGUCUUCUUUCCUCUGCCCCAUGCACACACAGUACACACUGUUGACUAAUGUUUAACUCAUAGAGGAGUUUGGGCUUGACAUGUGACCUCACUCAGCCUCUGUUUCAUUUGUGAAGUAAGAAAUAAGAGUGGGCGGCUGGGCGUGGUGGCUCAUGCCUGUAAUCCCAGCACUUUGGGAGUCUGAGGUGGGCAGAUCACGAGGUCAGGAGAUCAAGACUAUCCUGGCUAACACGGUGAAACACCAUCUCUACUAAAAAUAGAAAAAAUUAGCCGGGCAUGAUGGCACAUACUUGUAGUCCCAGCUACUCAGGAGGCUGAGGCAGGAGAAUUGCUUGAACCGGGGAGGUGGAGGUUGCAGUGAGCCAAGAUUGUGCCACUGCUCUCCAGCCUGGGUGACACAGCGAGACUCCAUCUCAAAAAAAAAAAAAAAAAAAAAAAAGGAGUGGGCUUAUUUCACAUAAGCCCACUCCUUGCUAAACCAACAAUGAUUGCCUAAGAUGCACGGAGCCAGUUGGUGGAAAAGUCCAUAGACUAUCAGAGUUGAAUGGUGCUGGUCAGGUGGGAGGAGCACCUCAUUCCUGCUUCCCCAUCAAGUUACUUGCCUUGGCCUGCUUCCUACUCUCUGGGUCACUGGUGCUCACACAGCCUUUCCCAACCCCCACCUCCAAAGGUCAUAUUUUACAGCUCCUUGUGAGGAAUUCACAUCAUGCCAUGACCUUCACUAUGAGAAAGCACAGGCUGUAAAAGGCCAGCCUGGCUCCCUGCUCCGUGGUUAAAUAUUGAUGAUAUUGGGCAAUAGAGACCUGGAGUGGGCACACUACAUAUCCCCCUGCAGUGAUGGAACCCACAGACCGCAGGUCCUCUGCAGUCCAUUCUCCUGCCUGUCCAGAGGAUCCGGAUGUUUUCUCUUUACUUGAGGCCAACACAUAACAAUGAAAGCACUGGGCUACUGGUGCUUUCGGAUUGUGAAAGUCAGGUGGAGCCUGUUUGCACUCUGAGUGCACUCAUUCAAGAGGUCAGUCACCCUGGAGUGAUACAGAAGGCUCCAGG